AUCGAACGCUGGCGGCAUGCCUAACACAUGCAAGUCGAACGAGUGGCGGACGGGUGAGUAAUGUCUGGGAAACCGCCUGAUGGAGGGGGAUCACUACUGGAAACGGUAGCUAAUACCGCAUACCAUCGGAUGUGCCCAGAUGGGAUUAGCUAGUAGGUGGGGUAACGGCUCACCUAGGCGAUGAUCCCUAGCUGGUCUGAGAGGAUGACCGGCCACACUGGAAUGGAGACACGGUCCAGCCGCCUACGGGAGGCAGCAGUGGGGAAUAUUGGACAAGGGGCGCAAGCCUGAUGCAGCCAUGCCGCGUGUAUGAAGAAGGCCUUCGGGUUGUAAAGUACUUUCAGCGGGGAGGCGUUACCCGCAGAAGAAGCACCGGCUAACUCCGUGCCAGCAGCCGCGGUAAUAC
rnacentral:rRNA from 1 species